AUUUUUAAAAAACUUUUUAUAUAAAAAGAAUUUCAACAAAAAAAAAAGUGUGAAAAAAAAGAAGUGCAGGGAGAGUUUAUGGAAAUAGUGAACGAUCACCAACCAUAGUUAGUUUAAAACUAUUGUUUAAUAACAACAAAUCAACAAAAAAAAAAUCAUUAAAACAUCUAUCGAUCGAUCGACGCAAUCGUUUUGUGUUUUAUUACAUGUUUAUUUUUUUAACACUAACAACAACAAUAAUAAAAAAACGGUAGUAGUAGCAACAACAAAAAAC